GGCUGCACUCACCCUUGCAGCCUGUAACUUCUCCCGCAGACGCUCCCUCAUGGAAAAUUCUGCAAAGCCUGUUCUGGAAGCUGAAGGAGUUGGAGAAAUUGAAGGAGACAGAGCUGAAGAGAGAGAAAGAGAGAAAUCUGCACCACUUGUGAAGCCUGCCUUUCUCACACGCCCUGCCAGCUGGGAGAGGAGGCUUGAACCGAAGAUGUUUCACACGGUAAUAUGUGCACUCUACUGAGUGUGCCACUGUUUUGCCUGGCCAGUAAGAUGCCUUGUAUUAGACACUUUCAGCAAACCCAGUAAGGCCAAGCCGUCACCAGCCUCAGGUUUGCAAAUGGCUUCCAACUCUUUCCUGUGCUGCCCCCUUCUCUACAGCAUGUCUCUAACUCGAUGCAGGUUUCAUAAAAUGGGCACUCCACUUUCUAGAUCUACCCUCAACUCUGACACCAUCUUCCCAAUGUUUUUCUUAGUACACCUACCUGCAUGUUAGCUAUCGAGCUCAAGCAAAGAUUACUAAAGUCACGGGUCCCUUGAAACAUACCAAAAACAGACUUUCUAGCUUCUUUUCACUCUAAAAUCCCUAGCCUCAUCUGUUCUAUUCCUAUUUUGGUUCCUGUUUAUUAAACAUGUUAUCCUGCUUUCUAUCUUAUGGCAUUUCAGCCACCACAUUAUAGAUGUUAUUAUGAUCCCAUCCUGUCUUCCCUGGGCAGACAACCUCACCAAUGUGUCCCGGGACCUCACCUCUCCAGAGCCCUGCCCCACUAGGGAAAGACAGAAACAGGCUGAAGUUAGGAAUUUACCUGCUAACACCCAUGUCCAGUGGAGAAACAAUUAUAGAAACCAGAACUCCCACCUUCUGCAUCCCCAAAAGAAUUUUGUCCAUACUUCCAGGGGUGGGGGGAGGAAGUGGUCAGGGGAAGUUUGUCAGAGGGCUGUGAAUCCCACUUCCAUCAGGACCCUGAGGGAGAAGAGGAAAAAGGAAGGACACUAGGAAGUAGUAAUAGUUGUAGGUGUGACUUAGGAAGGACGAGAAGGCAGGAUCACAGGAAAAAAUGGGCAAAGAUAUAUAAUGGUCAACUAGUGAACUCAUAUCUCUGAUUGUGGGGGCGCUAAUGCAGUUCUCAGUGGAGGGGAUGGGACACAGAACUCUGAUGUUGGGAAUUAUACCCCUGUUACCUUAUGACUUUGUAAAUCAAUAUGAAAUCAUUAAUUUUUUAAAAAGGGCACUCUGUAGCCCUCAGCUAUAUCUCUUUUAUUACCUGUUAAACACUUUCACCUUUCAGUGAAAUAAGCAUUGCAUUUUGAAAUCAUUUUCUAGUCCCCGCACUGUUAUGUUGUGAAGUAUGAUCUUGAAUUCCAAUGCCUUCUCCACUUUUCUCUUUGCUUUAAUGAGCUGUGAUCUGUGUACCAUAAAGAUCGUGUUUUGGGGAGUCGGGCGGUGACUCAGCGGGUUAAGUGCACAUGGCACAAAGAGCAAGGUGAAGUAGGUCUGUAGGCGUCUGUCUUUCUCUCCCCCUCUCUGUCUACCCCUCCUCUCUCCAUUUCUCUCUGUCCUAUCCAACAACAACAACAUCAAUAACCACAACAGUGUUAAACAGCAAGGGCAACAAAAGGGAAAAUAAAUAAAUAUUUAAAAAAUUAUAUCAUACUUUGGUAGGUCCAUGAUUGCUCAGCAAUUUGUUUGACUUUGUAUGUUACCUCUCUUUUCAGCCACCAGGUUCCAGAUGCUAGCAUAAUGCCGACCAGAUUUCCCUGGACAGACAACCCCACCAAUGUGUCCUGGAGCUCCAUUUCCCCAGAGCCCCACCCCACUAGGGAAAGAGAGAGGCAGGCUGAGAGGAUGGAUCGACCUGUCAACGCCCAUGUUCAGCCGGGAAGCAAUUACAGAAGCCAGACCUUCAACCUUCUGCAACCCACAAAGACCUUGGGCCCAUACUCCCAUGGGGUUAAAAAUAGGAAAGCUAUCAGCAGAGGGGAUAGGAUAGGGAACUCUGGUGGUGGGAACUGUGUAGAGUUGUACUCCUCUUAUCCUAUGGUUCUGUCAAUGUCUCCUUUUUAAAAUAAAUAAUAAAAAAAAAAGAUUGUGCUUUCGAAGUGA